rnacentral:rRNA from 1 species
UACGAAGGGGGCUAGCGUUGUUCGGAAUUACUGGGCGUAAAGCGCGCGCAGGCGGUCUUCCAAGUCAGUGGUGAAAGCCCGGAGCUCAACUCCGGAACUGCCAUUGAAACUGUUAGACUUGAGGACGAGAGAGGUGAGUGGAAUUCCCAGUGUAGAGGUGAAAUUCGUAGAUAUUGGGAAGAACACCGGUGGCGAAGGCGGCUCACUGGCUCGUAUCUGACGCUGAGGUGCGAAAGCGUGGGGAUCAAACAGG